GACGAACGCUGGCGGCGUGCUUAACACAUGCAAGUCGAACGGAAAGGCCCUGCUUUUGUGGGGUGCUCGAGUGGCGAACGGGUGAGUAACACGUGAGUAACCUGCCCUUGACUUUGGGAUAACUUCAGGAAACUGGGGCUAAUACCGGAUAGGAGCUCCUGCUGCAUGGUGGGGGUUGGAAAGUUUCGGCGGUUGGGGAUGGACUCGCGGCUUAUCAACUUGUUGGUGGGGUAGUGGCUUACCAAGGCUUUGACGGGUAGCCGGCCUGAGAGGGUGACCGGCCACAUUGGGACUGAGAUACGGCCCAGACCCCUACGGGAGGCAGCAGUGGGGAAUAUUGCACAAUGGGCGGAAGCCUGAUGCAGCAACGCCGCGUGCGGGAUGACGGCCUUCGGGUUGUAAACCGCUUUCGCCUGUGACGAAGCGUGAGUGACGGUAAUGGGUAAAGAAGCACCGGCUAACUACGUG
rnacentral:rRNA from 1 species